UUGGUUUGACAGUUCAUUAUCCCAGCAGCUAUAUCGAUGCAACUAUCUGUAUUCCUCUACCAUGGCUGUCACAUCCGAUCCAGAACAUUUUAAUGGGAUAAUUCUAAUCGUUAGAAUCUAAUGUCGAAUAGGGCAGGCUGCGUGAGGAGGGCGGAGAAAAAAACGGAAUACCUAUUACACCGCUGUCCUGCUCAAUCAAACCUACUAGCAAUGGAGGAACAUUCGACGCAUGAUCUCGAUGUGAAUUCAAAUCCCGGCUUUACUUGCUAGGGCGCUGUAUUUAAAACACGGCUCUUUUCCCGCAGAAUGAUCAUAAUGGACCGGAAGGUCUGAGUGAAUCAAUCUUGAAACCGAUACGCCUUAUUGCGAAUAGCAGGUUGAACCUUUAAAAUAUCGAAAAUCAGGAGCUGAUUUGAUUGGGUCUAUACCAAAAAAUGGCCCUAUAUUUGGCAUUUUUAAUACCAAUCACCAUUGGAGUUAUAUCAAAAACGAACU